GGAUUAGAUACCCUGGUAGUCCACGCCCUAAACGAUGUACACUAGUUGUUGCAAUGCUAGACAUUGCAGUAAUGCAGUUAACACAUUAAGUGUACCGCCUGGGGAGUACGGUCGCAAGAUUAAAACUCAAAGGAAUAGACGGGGACCCGCACAAGCGGUGGAGCAUGUGGUUUAAUUCGACGAUACGCGAAGAACCUUACCUGGACUUGACAUUUACAGAAUUUUUCAGAGAUGAAUUAGUGUCUGCUUGCAGAAACUGUAGGACAGGUGCUGCACGGCUGUCGUCAGCUCGUGCCG
rnacentral:rRNA from 1 species